AACGAACGCUGGCGGCAGGCCUAACACAUGCAAGUCGAGCGAAGCCUUCGGGCUUAGCGGCGGACGGGUGAGUAACGCGUGGGAACGUGCCCUUUGGUACGGAAUAGCCCCGGGAAACUGGGAGUAAUACCGUAUGUGGUCGAGAGACGAAAGAUUUAUCGCCAAAGGAUCGGCCCGCGUUGGAUUAGGUAGUUGGUGGGGUAAUGGCCUACCAAGCCGACGAUCCAUAGCUGGUUUGAGAGGAUGAUCAGCCACACUGGGACUGAGACACGGCCCAGACUCCUGCGAGAGGCAGCAGGGGGGAAUCUUAGACAAUGGGGGAAACCCUGAUCUAGCCAUGCCGCGUGAUCGAUGAAGGCCUUAGGGUUGUAAAGAUCUUUCAGUGGGGAAGAUAAUGACUGUACCCACAGAAGAAGCCCCGGCUAACUCCGUGCCAGCCGCCGCCGUAAAAC
rnacentral:rRNA from 1 species